CAGGCUUCAAAAGGACCGAAUCUCUGUCUUAAACAUCAACUAAGAGUUGGAUUGGAAGAUUUUGGUAAAGCCGACUAGAUUAUACUUUUGAUUGGAAUCGGGGCUGUAAAUGUGUAGUCGACUUUUAAUGGUUGCAUUUUGGAACUUGAUGUAUCUUUUGUGAACAUGAUGUAAGAUUUAAAUAUUUAGUUAAGGAAGCGACUUUUCUUUA